rnacentral:rRNA from 1 species
UACGUAGGGGGCAAGCGUUGUCCGGAUUUAUUGGGCGUAAAGGGCGCGUAGGCGGCCACUGCAAGUCGGUUGUGAAAUCUCCGGGCUUAACCCGGAAAGGUCAACCGAUACUGCAGGGCUAGAGUGCAGAAGGGGCAACUGGAAUUCUCGGUGUAGCGGUGAAAUGCGUAGAUAUCGAGAGGAACACCUGCGGCGAAGGCGGGUUGCUGGGCUGACACUGACGCUGAAGCGCGAAAGCUAGGGGAGCGAACGGG